rnacentral:sRNA from 1 species
CUUGGUCAUUUAGAGGAAGUAAAAGUCGUAACAAGGUUUCCGUAGGUGAACCUGCGGAAGGAUCAUUAUGAAUUAAUAAUAUUUGUGAAUUUACCACAACAAACAAAAAUCAUACAAUCAAAACAAAAAUAAUUAAAACUUUUAACAAUGGAUCUCUUGGUUCUCGUAUCGAUGAAGAACGCAGCGAAACGCGAUAUUUCUUGUGAAUUGCAGAAGUGAAUCAUCAGUUUUUGAACGCACAUUGCACUUUGGGGUAUCCCCCAAAGUAUACUUGUUUGAGCGUUGUUUCUCUCUUGGAAUUGCUUUGCUCUUCUAAAAUUUCGAAUCAAAUUCGUUUGAAAAACAACACUAUUCAACCUCAGAUCAAGUAGGAUUACCCGCUGAACUUAAGCAUAUCAAUAAGCGGAGGAAAAGAAACCAACAGGGAUUGCCUUAGUAACGGCGAGUGAAGCGGCAAAAGCUCAAAUUUGAAAUCGGCCACCAGGUCGAGUUGUAAUUUGUAGAUUGUAUCUUGAGAGCGGAUUAAAGUCUGUUGGAACACAGCGCCUUAGAGGGUGACAGCCCCGUAAAAUCUAUUCUCAUUGUAAGAUACUUUCGAAGAGUCGAGUUGUUUGGGAAU